ACUCUUAAAAAAAAAAAAAAGAUUUACGAGAAACAAGAUAUGCGAGAGAGAUAUUUACAAUCUUAGAGCCCUACAAAAAAUUCCAUGUCCAAUCAAAUUGAUGGCCCCCAGUUACUAUCUGGUCACGGAAUCUCCUCCUGUGCAUGAAAGCAAGGUGACGGGAUCAUGAUCAUCCCCGGAAUUCAUUCUUAAGCUUACAGCUAGAAGGAAAAGGAGUUUCUUCCUGGAGUCUAUCAUUUCUAUGCUGGCAAUUUACUUGCCCUAAAUCAUCAUCACCACCCCUCUGAGAAUCUAUUAUCUUUUAGACAGAUGGGAGUGGUAUUGUUCAAGAGAUACCAGUUUUUCUAAAUGUUGAUUUUAGGAAUUAAAUUAAAGAAAUUAAACGAGGGAAGAAUUCUUUUUUAACCACUUGGAUUAAACAUCAUGCUCUCGUGGAAGACAUGGAUGAAAAUGGUGUCCCACAUCGCAAUAAUGGUAGCUCCCGUCCCUGGAGAGACGGCCACCACCGUCAGCCUCAGAAGGAGGGCCAGUCUCCACAUGGAGGGCCACCAAUUGCUUACCUAGCACGAGCAAGUCAAGGUUGUCUUUGGAAAUAAAUAUUAUUGAAAGCGGUGAUGACCCUUGACUUGUUCGCCCUUGGUCUUGUCACUGGGAGCAUGGGUCUGAGUCAGCAUGCCACUAAACAAUUCAUAGUUCACCCACCUGGCUAAGCAGCAAACGUCAAAAUUUGAAAAGUUUAGGUGGUCUGAAAUCUAACACCACCAUGUUUUCCUGCCUAAAUUGUCUCCAUCAGUCCAAUUUUUGUAUAGUCUAAGGUAAUUGCUGAGUUGUUUUGAAUAUUCAAAGCAAAGACUGAACAUUACCCCUUCAACUGGCUAUUCUAAAGCCCUCUCUAUUCAUCAGCCCUGAACAAAAAGUUAAAAACAAAAACAAAACUAAAAGAAACACUA